CCUACGGGUGGCAGCAGUGAGGAAUAUUGGUCAAUGGCCGGAAGGCUGAACCAGCCAUGCCGCGUGAAGGUCAGUGCCCUAUGGGCGUUAAACUUCUUUUGUGCGGGAGCAAUAAUGGUCACGUGUGGCCAGACGAGAGUACCGUACGAAUAAGCAUCGGCUAACUCCGUGCCAGCAGCCGCGGUAAUACGGGGGAGGCAAGCGUUGUCCGGAUUUAUUGGGUGUAAAGGGUGCGUAGGCUGGGAGUUAAGUCAGCGGUGAAAUGCCCCCGGUCAACGGGGUGAAGUGCCAUUGAUACUGACAUGCUGGAGUGCAGAUGCGGUGGGAGGAAUGUGUGGUGUAGCGGUGAAAUGCAUAGAUAUCACACAGAACACCGGUUGCGAAGGCAUCUUGCGGAUCCGCGAUUGACGCUGAGGCACGAAAGCGUGGGUAGCAAACAGGAUUAGAUACCCCUGUAGUC
rnacentral:rRNA from 1 species